CCUAGCAACGACGUUAUUAUAAGGAAAAUAAAUAAAACUAAACCAUAAUAUUGUUGUAUUAUCGAGCAAUGAUGUAGAAAAAUGGCGUAAUAGUACAUGCUGAGGGAUGAGUGGCAAUAAAAUAAAUGAUUUCGCUGGUUACAGUACCUGGUGGAGGUAUGACAAACUGUACCGGUGUAACUUGUGUAACAGAUCGUUCGAUCAAAACUUAAAUUUAACGUUGCAUCGGCGGAUACACACGGGCGAGAGACCCUAUUUGUGUGAGGUGUGUGGUUGGACCUUCACUCAAAAAAGUAACCUCACGGUGCAUCAGCGGAUACACGCUGGUGAGAAACCGUACUCGUGCGACUUGUGCGGAAAAUCUUUCACUCGGUACGGUAAUCUAAGGAGACACCAGUUGAUACACACCAAUCAGUUGAAUAACGUCAUUACGAAUACGGCACAGAUGUAAUAAACAUAAUAUGUUAAAUACUUCUGCGUGAUUUAUUACAUAUUUAUAUACCUAUUUAAGAAACCGUCUCGAAGAUGAAAAUCAGGGAGGAGUGAUUAUUUGCUGACAAAUACUGAUUAAAAUUUUUUUUUUAUGAAGAGCAAAUAGUCUAAAAAUGUUUGUACCUACAAAUAUACCACAUACUGAAUAUUAUACUAACAUCGAUUACGAUUAAGAAAUAAAUCCAGGCUGUAUUUAGGUAUAGCACAUGUCCGAAUCAACAUACGAAUCAAAUAAUGUGAAUUGUCACUUCUCUUGAUAAUGUUAAAAUCUCAAUUGUUACUAUCAUACUAUGCAUACUUUUAGUAAAACACAAACGGUAAGUAUUUGA